AACGAACGCUGGCGGCGUGGAUAAGACAUGCAAGUCGAACGGGAUUACUUUUGGUAGCAAUACCGAAAGUGAUUCAGUGGCGAACGGGUGCGUAACACGUGGGCAAUCUACCGAGAAGUGGGGAGUAGCUCGCCGAAACGGACGGAAUUAAAUUAACCGCCAUGUGAUCAGAGGCGGACAAUCGCUUCGUAAAUACAAAGGUAGGCGGCAAGACUACCGCCUUUUUGUUAGGAGCCCGCCGGCCGACUCAGCUUGUUUGGUUGGA
rnacentral:rRNA from 1 species